CUGCUCUCACACCACUCUUGCCUGUUUAAACAUCCGUGCUCACUCCAUCCUUUCCCAUUCAAAAUCUUUCCACCUCUUCCAACAAGUUCCUUCAAAAUCCCUGAACCAGAAAUGUCUAAUCCGGGCAUAUCUAAAACAGGUCUUUUUGAUAUAUGCCCACAAUACGAACACAUGAAUUUUCCACCACCUGGAUUCUGGUCCCUAUAAGGCGCAGAGCAGUUACGGCAACGCCUAGUCGCAUUUUUCUUCAGCUUCUGUAGUUGAAUAGCUUCUAAUCUCGCUCUCUCCCUAAGCCUAGCAUUUCUCCUCACACGCCAAGUGGAAAGCUGAGGCAUCAAAACCUCGUACCAGAAGAGAGUAACCAAAAGCACAAACACACAAGCAAGCCUGGGAGAAGUAAUCUCGAAACGAAAAGCAGGUGGAAGAAGCUGAGAGAGAGCCCACAGUCCAAUCAAAGGUAUAACAAACCAAGGCAGCAUCGUUGCAACCUGGCGAGACCACUUUUGAAUAACGCACAAUAUACACAUUAUCCUCUCAAAGCCGGGCGGCCCCCUUCUGAGAAAACCCCUAGACAGGAAUCACAAACCCUAAUCUUAUUAUGAGGUCGUAGUCAAGAUGAUAGCGCCUUGGAGAAUCAACAAGAUACCUAACGCAAACGACGACAAUGGAAUCAAUUAGAAAGACCGCCGAGCACGCAAAUGGAAUUUGAUUAGGUUAAACGCAUGUACGGAGCGAAACCAUUGUGAAUCAAUCGAGAGAGGUAAGGAGACUUACCGAUAGGAAGGCCAUUGAAGCAAAACGUCGGCAGAAGAAAUAAAGAAAGAGAGCUUCGAAAUUGGGGAUGAUGAUGAUGUCGAAGUUCGAAUACAACCUUCACGAUUCCGAUUGAAUUCGUGUUGAAUUACUUCGUUCGAUUUUUGCCAGCGACGAAACCCUAAAUGAGAAAAAAGAUUUGAGAAGAAGAAGAAGAAAAGGAAAAUAAAUGAUAAAAGAGGGCACAAAUGUGAAAUAUGGAACGAACCGGGUGGGUAUUCGGGUCAGGGUUGGGCCCCACAUAGAGUAGCGCAGUAGUAAAUGAAUUUUACCUUUUACCAAAUUGCUCCAUUGAUUUUUUUCUUUCAUCAACAUCAUUUAUUAAACAGAUCAGAUUUCGGAUAUCAUAUUUUCAUCAUAAACCGGUAAAUUUAUGUUUCAGAAUAUAAAUGGCUAAAUAAAUGACAUGAUAUCCCUUAUCUAUUCUGUAAACAUAGUAACAUAUUGUUACUGAAUUCAAAUAAAUGACAAGAUUUCAUUAUGGUAUCUAAGAUUGCUUGGACUCUUUUAUUACGUUUGGUUUGUUUCAUCAAUACAAUAACUAUCAUUGCAGCAAUCUCCAAAGGAUCCAAAUUAGUGAUCUCAGUAAAACGUACAGUAGUUUUCUAUAUAUGGUGUUUUGGCCUUUUCAUAUUUAAAUUACGAUCACUAUCACAGAAAGAUGUAAAUGUAAUUUCAACUCACAAUUCACAGUUUUCACACUCAUUUGAUCGAAUGAUUCAAGUCACUUCAUUACCAAGCUCAUAUUAGGGCCUCCAACCCAUCGAGAUAGAGAGGAACACGCUUUCUAAGUUGCGCCAUAACCAGUCAAGAAAAAAGAUUACAGUAUAUAGAUUUGGUUUCCUUUAUAAGGUUAUGUCGCACGAGUAGAUUUGGUAGGAACAUGUUCAGACACCAACCAAAGCAAGUUAAGUGAGAGACUUUAUCAGAGUAAAGAGUACCUGACUAUAGUUAUGCGUCGAGUGUUCAGUGGAGCUGUGUUUUCAAGCUAAAAAAACUCAAAAGUCUCCAUCAGAGACUCGAGUGGCAAACAUAGACAGAUACAGACAGACCAAGUGCGAUUAUCUGCAAAAACUCUCCUCAUUUUUUUUCUUUUUGAAUUUGCGACUACCAAACCGAUUGCACAUCUUCUUGGUGGUUCUCAACUUCACCUGCCGCCACAAAUUGCUUCCCGGUCCCAUCCUUUAAGCCCUUCACCUUCCUGCACAAUCACAAAUUGCACUAUAUGAUUCCACUCUUCAUCGCAUUUUUUAAGAUUAGGCUGCUUAAAUUUUGGUGUGAGAUUCACAUCUUAUCGUCUUGUGAUCUCAGAAUAGUACAGAAACAAAAUGUUUUCAAUCGUACAAGACUUACUUGAGCCAGUGAUUCGGAGAAGGGUGUUCAAAGGGAUUGUUCUGAGCAGAUCCAGUUGGACUCCUGUUGUUCAAGAGAGUGCUUUCUGUUUGUGUGCUACAAGAAAAAGGACUCUCUGUGCCAGAUAAUGCAGGGAAGAACAUAUUCUGUGACCAAGGAUCAUGGUUGUUUGUAAUGGGGCUGAAUACGCUGUUUUGGUGAUCACUUUCAGGGCUGUCCCUAUGUGAAUAAGCAUCCUCUUUUGCAAAUAAGGAGGAUGCUAUAUGAUGACUUUCCUCGGUAGAUCUAGUUGUCUCUGAAGGUAUAAUCCAGUUUGCUGACCCACUAACUAAACCAAGACUGUUUUGGCCAAGUGGGCUCUUCCACAUUUGCCAGCUUCCGUCAUUAGCUUGUUUUUCAUCAGCAGCCCGUGAUUUGGACAAAGGAGAUUCAAUUGGGGAUGGCUUGCUGAUUUCACGAGUAGGUGUAUUCUUCAUUGAAUGGGGUUUUCCUAUCCCAGUUUCAUACCCAGCCCUUAAAUCAAGUGAUUCUGAAACAGGUCCCAGCAGAGAUAUCGGAUCUGGAACAUAACACGGAUCUUCAAAAUGUUCAUCUUCACCAGGUUGAGGGAGAACAAUCUCUGUUGGAGGUGAGAAACCUAUACUACAGGUAGUGGAUCCACUAGAGUAUACCGGUAUGGUAAAUGGCGAUGGGAGGCCAAAACUGAUGGGAUUGUCAAAGGUACGUAUUGAGGAAACUUGACUGGAAAUUUGUGAGCUCUGAGCUGCUUCCUGGGGCUUUGUACUAGGUCUACUUAUAGUACUAACAUUCGGGGAAACAGGAACAGAUGUUGAACGGGCAAACAGUUGGUGCCAUGCUUUUCGAGGUUCUCUUGUCGGCUUUGGCUCAGAAACAACCUGUGGAAAGAGCAUCGCAUAUUGAGUUAUAAUUGGGAAAAAAAUGGAAGUAAACUAAUUCACAUUUCACUUGACAUUUUACAAUACGAAUGUAAAUUUUGAAAUCAUAUGAAGCAGAAAACAGACAAGUUAACUAAAAAACACACGAGUUUACUCAUAGCCAUAGUCCAAAAAGAUAUGUGAAAAUUUGGAAGGACACUUACUGCGUGAUUAGCAUUCGUAUGAGAAUUAGUAUGAGCAGAGGUAUGUGAAUUAUCUGUAGAACCGAUGGGUUUGGUUUCUUUUGCAAUAGUAGCAGAAGUGAUAACGCCUCUCCCAAAUAAACGGCUAUCACUGAAAGCCUUAGAAGAGGAUAAAAAUGUCCCCUUCACUCGAUCAAAGUACCUACCGCCAGAUUUUGUACCGUUACUAGUGGCAGUAUUCUCUAUACCAUGGUCAUGUCUCCUUUCCAUGUUGGAGCCCCUAUCAUGUUCCAGAUGAUCAUCCUUAUCAACAUUGCGCUUAUGAUCGAUUUCCUUUCCUGUUCUCUUGUUAUGCUCUUCACCAUCAGAACUGCUCUUACUUGAGGCUUUAUCCCUUUCUUUCCUUCUCUCCUGACGCUUCUUCUCCGCCUCUCUGACGAUUUUCUCCUUCGCAGCUAGUAAUACUUUGCUGCAUUUCUCGGCCUCAAUCUUUUCAUCUCUCAGCUUUCUCCGUUCUUCCACUAGUCUUGCGACUUCUUCUCUUUGUUUUCUCUCUUCCUCCUCUGAAAGCUCCUUCUCCAAUCUAGCUUGUCUUUUCUCCUCUGCCUUUCUACGUGCCUUUUCUACCCUACUCUCAUGAUAGGUGUUCCCGUUCUCACCCUGUUUAGCCAGUAACCGUCUCUGCUCUGGGCCAAGCGACGAAUCAUCAACUGAGCUAAACCUAAAAAUCUUUCUCCAAAGCCAACUAAUGCUCAUGAAAAGAGAAGACAGCAACCUGCAAGCAAAACCAACACCACCAGGAUAAGAUUUCUCCACCAAACAAUUUUCAUCUCCAUCAAAUGUACUCAACGUGCUGCCCUCACACCACUCUUGCCUGUUUAAACAUCCGUGCUCACUCCAUCCUUUCCCAUUCAAAAUCUUUCCACCUCUUCCAACAAGUUCCUUCAAAAUCCCUGAACCAGAAAUGUCUAAUCCGGGCAUAUCUAAAACAGGUCUUUUUGAUAUAUGCCCACAAUACGAACACAUGAAUUUUCCACCACCUGGAUUCUGGUCCCUAUAAGGCGUAGAGCAGUUACGGCAACGCCUAGUCGCAUUUUUCUUUAGCUUCUGUAGUUGAAUAGCUU
rnacentral:lncRNA from 1 species